GCUUAGUAGGGUUUCUAAACUAACAAUUGUCUCUUCCAACGCUGUGCCAAAAAGAGCUUAUUUGUAACAUAUUUGUUUGACUUUCCUUUGCUGGUUUUCUCUUUAAAUGUCAACACUAUCCAGAAUUCUUUAAAUUAGAAGUCACGUUUCACCAUUGCACUCUUUCCGACGUGAAACCCAGCAAUGUGUUAUUUUCCCGGAAAUUCCCAGAUAUUGUGAGUAGCUCAGCUGAAAUGCUAGUGUUUGCAUAAUUUGAGCAUGUGUGUGUUUCAUGUGCGGGUUUGUGGAACAGCCAUGUCCUGUUUGUAACCAACACACAGUAUACAGUUGCUCACUGUACUGUGGAGUUUCAAGCCAGCUGGGCACAUUAGAUGGGCCCACUAUCUGUUUGACUGUUCAAGUUUAGUGCACAAUUGUCACUGUUAUGGAUGUUUAUCAAUCGUCAGCUUGUUAAAUCUCAACCAAAUAGUCACAGAAGCAGAUCAUUUUAUUUUUUAGUGUUUUUUGUGGCCUAAAUUCAAAGUGGCGCAGAUGAUUAGAUAGGUACUCAAGUUGUUUAAAUUGACGUUAAAACUGAAUAAAGAUAAGAAAUAGUGAUACCUGCAGGUACAUUCUGUAAAAGUGACAAACGUGAUAUUCAAGGUUAAAUGUAAACAGUAUGAUCACAUGACUAUAACAGAACAGAGCAUGUAAUCAUUUUUUGUUUUUAGCUCCAGAGCAGGUCAGAGGUGCAGCUUGUUGCCAUGGUGAUUUACAACAGGAAGGAAUGAACCAGCUUCCUUGCAUUGACAAAACACCCAGAGUUUAUCCUUGAAGUUACCUCUGUAACCACAGAUCCUGCUCCCUAGUACAGUACCCCUAAGUAAAGUAGUGAUGCAAUCAGUUCACAGUUUACAUAGCAGUAAUUACUUAUCUUUUAAAAAUGAGGCAAACAGAAAUACAAUUAAUUAAUCAGGAAGGUGUGCUGUGAUAUAUGCCACUGGGCACGGGAAUGCCUUACCAGAUGUGGUUGUAGUGUGGUCUUGCAAAAACAGUGCACAGCUUGAGUCUUUGGCUGUGUUGCUGGACUGACCCCAUUUUAGGGAAUGAGAGGGCCUUGUUAUUUCAUGCAGGGCUUAAGCACCUCCAGUGGGAGGCUCUAUUGAAAUCGAAAUGUUUAUUAGGGCCCGAGCACCGAAAUUGGUGGGAGGCCCUAUUGAAUUCUAAAUGAUCAUUAUUAUUUAAUAUUAGGGAUCGAGUACCGAAAUCGGUGGGAGGCCCUAUUGAUAUUGAAGUGAUUAUUAUUAGUUAGAUUACACUCCAUUAAAACACGAUGUUCUGUAUCGCGGACAUACAAGGACCAUGAAUCCUUUGAUGCUGAGACGUAAACAAACAACUCCACUACUGCGGUGUCAGUGGUUAAAGAUAAUAGGAAUCUUUAUGUCUUGCAAAGGUUACGUCUAUCCCCCUCUCAGAAUUGGGAUAUUUCCUCAAACCAUGUAAACAUUGAGGUACGGCGAAGGUUCAUCCUAAAGGCUCCUAAAUGGUGGAAUGGCUCCUAAAUGGUGGAAUGAGCUCCCCAUUGACAUCCGGACAUCAGAAAGUCUACACAUCUUCCGCCGAAAACUAAAAACAUACCUCUUCCGACUUAACCUUGAAUAAAAAAAAAAAAAAAAAAAAAAAACACUAACAACUUUUUGAAACUAACACUUUAGUAGCACUUAAAUGGCACUUACUUAUUAUAGCACUUUGUAGUUGUGCUUUAUUUGAAGAAAUUGUACUUUCUUGAUUCUUGUUGUCCUUGGUAUGUACCCUCGGGUUUGAAUACACUUAUUGUAAGUCGCUUUGGAUAAAAGCGUCAGCUAAAUGAAAUGUAAUGUAAUGUAAUGUAAAAGGAGACGAUGUUGUCAUAACUCCACUGUGCAUUAUCCCAUCACCAGCAAACUUCUAUCUCAUGAUCAGAGUCCAAGCCUAAACAGCUCUAUUUGUCAAUAUUUCCUCAGUCAUUAUUUAUUUUUUUCAGGCAAAACACAUACAACGCUUUAAAAUGCAUGUGCUCGGGCCCGCCAAGUGCUGCUUUGCAGUCCUAGAAAUUUUAGAAAUUGUAUUUUCUUCAUUUGAAAUCAUUAAAUCUAAAUGAAUAAGUGAUGAACGUUACGCAAACUGCUCCACCAAGAAUCCAAUCGCUGCCUCCGACUGAGCUGAGAUGUUUUACUCACUUCUCCUCACUCAUCACCAUCAUUUUCAAUGAUCGUUUUACUGUUUUCAGCCACUGACAAAAAGAUGUGAAGAAUCCCACCUUUUUGGAUUGGUUGGUUCAGUCCAAGCCAUAGCAGAGUUUUACUUUCUUCUUCCUUAUCUAAUUAUAAAGUACUUUGUUUUAGCUGAAGUCAGAUUUAAGCUGCAAUUAUUUUUAAAUACGGGGAAUGCAUUGCUCGGCGUCAUGAUCUCUCCUUUAAACAGGCUGCUCUAUGCUUUGGUUUCAUUAUUAUGAUCACUGUAGUGUGAGGUUUCACAUCAAGUUCUAUUGUUUUAUUAAGUCUGAAGCUUUGGUCACUAGUAACCUCAAUUGUAUGAUGCAACGCUGUUUACACCUGAAUCUCCUAAAGUGUUUUGUGGACUCAAACACUUCACCAUGCCCUCUAUUGGCAUAGUGGUGAGUAGAAAAUGAGGUGAAAUUAAAUUUCUGGGUGAGCUAUCCCUUUAACUGCAGCUUCAAUGCGAUACCACUGCGUUGGCUUUCAUUGAUACAACUGCUGUGGCCACCAAACAACACAUUUCUGCACCUCACUCACAAGCUCCUCCAUUUUGGUGUCAGAAUCAUGGCGUCUUGCUUGAUCAUGUUCAUGUUCACCAUAAAAAAAAAUGGUAAGUCUGAACAUGGAGGCUAAGCCCUUUCCGAAGGAUUUAUAAGGGGGCUAUGUAAGAUUGGCCUGGGUGGGUCAAACCGGGCUGAGGAGACAGUUGGGAAAUGCUGAGAUCCAGAGAUACCUGAAAGAUGAAACUCAUUCCUGAAAAUCCUCCAUGGGCUUGAAGCUUUCCUAUUACUCAAGUUCUCCGGCACUGUGCCGGAAUUCCGGCGCAGGCCAGUGGCGGUUGGAUUCAGAAAUAGAUAAUUAUGUGUCUGUGUAAAUAUUCUGGGCUUUUUAAAGUGUCGUAUUGCAAGGAUAUGGCUGUGUCAUACUGGAUAUUCUUUACGGCUUUGAAAGUUCUGCACCCUGUCUGACAUGAUGCAACAAAUUAGAGGAGGGGCUCAAGAGGCAGGUGAAAACAGCCUUUCCUGUCUGCAGCUCAAGAGAGCGGCAGAAGAGAGGACAUGGAAAUACACAUUGCAGCAGUUUUUCCGACUUUAAGCCACUGAUAUUUCAUCUUAGGGGUACCAAUACCUCAAACUAAAUCCAGAAAGGUGUAAAAUAUGGGUCCUUUAAAUCACACAAGCUUCUUACUAAAAUUGUCCUACCUAGAUUCUAUGAUGAAACUGCAUGUUCAUCAUUUGGCAGUAAUUAAUAAAAGAAAAAUACAUAAAUAUAGGUUUAUUAUAAUACAAAACAGUGGACUUGUACCCUUGCCUGUUCAUUAAAGGAAAAUUUAGCACAGUUCUUUUAUAUCCAAUAAUACAUGUGUUGUGAAGAAACAAUGGCUGAUAAGAUAUUGCUGCUACUUGUGGAAUCGUUGUUUCUGUGAUCCAGGUUAUAGGUUAAAGUUAAAGGGGACAUUCCACUUUUGUAGUUCUUCUUCACAUUAUUUUGGGUAUCUGGCAUGUCUACCUUCCCAAAAACUCUGGAAAAAAACAGAGUGUCCAAUGGAAUUAUGACCGAAAUAGACGUCAUAGUCGCAACAUGCCCAUGCCCCCAUAUAGCUCUAUGCACUCCCCCACUACCACUCCACCCACCCAUGGAUGGACCCCCCACUUUUUAGACAGUCUAUCAGUGUACUGCAGCCAUUUCAUUCUUGCAAGCCUUGGAAACACUUCGAUAAGCUAACUAGCAGCAUGAAUCGAAUUCGACAACCGAGAUCCUCAGUGGUCAGCUGCACAAAUGUCUUCAUGUGACUCCAGCUUCAGAAGACACAAGAUUGAGAUGGAUUGAGUUCAUAUAUGAUGGCAACGUUCCUGCCACCACUUUGAAUCGGACUGUUUUAUCAACCUGGGCCAAUAUAACAACGGAUUCUCUAAAAAGGUUGUUAUUGAAAGAGGGAUCGGUGCCAUCUUUCCAUCGCAAUACUGAAGACGAGGGAAGUGCAAGUAUUUUUUUUAUUAUAAUUCUGGUAUUUGCUUCUUUUAGACAUUUUGUGUGGAGGCUAGUGCCCUUAGGUGUGUGUGUGUGUGUGUGUGUGUGUGUGUGUGUGUGUGUGUGUGUGUGUGUGUGUGUGUGUGUGUGUGUGUGUGUGUGUGUGUGUGUGUGUGUGUGUGUGUGUGUGUGUGUGUGUGUGUGUGUGUGUGUGUGUGUGUGUGUGUGUGUGUGUGUGUGUGUGUGUGUGUGUGUGUGUGUGUGUGUGUGUGCGUGCGUGCGUGAGUCUUAGCAAGAAGACAGCGUCGGGGUCCACGGUGAAUGGUGAUCGCACGGCAGGUUCGUGAGUGUUGUGCUCUCCACGCUCUCCCCCCCCUCCGCUCGAGGGGCCGUAGCGGCUACUACGAACCCAGUAGCAGCUACUACGAACCCCGGCAAGCACAUCUGUUCACGGUGCUAGGCUACAUCACGUAGCAUGCCAGACGGACCCACCAAAGAUGCGCACACAUGGAACGCAGCUUUCUAUGAAAACACUGCGACCUCACUACAAAAGCACACAGAAAACUGUGCUGCACUGAUGUCGGUGUUGGGAUCUCAGCUGUAAGAGACCACGCUUGGAGGAGGGAGAGGACAACCGAAGUUGUUCAAGUAUGGACUUCGGAGACACAGGAUGCUACCUAUGAUCCUGAUGACCCGAUCACAGUCUUGACUGAGUCAGCAGAUGUGACAAUGGAAUCUUCCAACCCUGUUCACAGACACCCACAUAUAUUGUCUAUGAAAACUGCCCCCUGGAGCUGUUUGAGGUGUGUCCUGUGUGUCGGCGGGGGACAGAUAUAAUAUAUAAGAAGGGCGAGUGCACAGCAAAGCCGGUGAAGAUGCAGCCUUCCGUGAUUCUCACAGGCUCUGUUUAAAACCCAAAUAAUGUACAAAUAGUAUGUGAAACAUAAAUAACAAUAUAAUAAUAACAAUAUCAAUUAACUGCUCUCUUUAAAUGGUCUUCAAUAUUUAAAGACCAUUUCUUUAUCGUCUUCACGGUAAAUAGAAUUAUAUAAUGUCCCCCAAUUUGUAUUACAGAUUACGUGGAUAACCUGUUGGACCUCAUCUUUCAUGAGGUUUUUCAGGACCCGGCCCCAUAUGUGAAUGAGGUGCUGAAGAUCUCAAAACCUGAAGAUCUCUCUGCUAAGUAUGAGAAACCUGACAAGCAGAAAGUUAUAGCCAGCUAUGUGAGCAUCAGGGAACACUCUGCGUAUCUGGAGCACCGAGCAGGAGGGCAGGACCACCCUGAUUCUCCGGCCCAGAUGGCCUCAACACCAGCUCACAAAGCUUCUGUACUCCAAAUACCUGUAACGGCUGAGCAAUGUUUACAUUGUAUUUAGAGAAUAAAAGGUGACACACAAAUAUAAAGUGUUCCUUUGUUUACAGUUUGGCUACUGAUGGUACAAAGUGUAUUUUUGUAAUCAAUGUUUUUAUUAUACUUGGUAUUUUUUGUAUUUAUUACCUCUGUCCCAGCCGUUACGUUUAAUAACUAUGAUUAAAAAGCUCUGUGGCAAUCUUUCUGACAAUAAAAGUUUAUAGAAACA